rnacentral:snRNA from 1 species
GCCACUUGACAAAAUUCGGAGACAUCCGAUAAAAUUGGAACGAUACAGAGAAGAUUAACAUGGCCUCUGCGCAAGGAUGACAUGCACAAAUCGAUAAAUGAUCCAAAAACAC